rnacentral:rRNA from 1 species
GAUCCUGGCUCAGGACGAACGCUGGCGGCGCGCCUAACACAUGCAAGUCGAACGGAGCUUAAAGAGCUUGCUUUUUAAGCUUAGUGGCGAACGGGUGAGUAACGCGUGAGUAACCUGCCCUAGAGUGGGGGACAACAGUUGGAAACGACUGCUAAUACCGCAUAAGCCCACGGUACCGCAUGGCACUGAGGGAAAAGGAUUUAUUCGCUUUAGGAUGGACUCGCGUCCAAUUAGCUAGUUGGUGAGGUAACGGCCC